UGGAUACAAGUGACAUGUCACUAGAGAUCAGUGUUACAGUGUUACAGUGAGUCCCGGGUGCUGGGUGAUCUAGCAUGUGUUGCAGACACCUGACAGCUUGUGUGAGCAGACCCGUGGACAUUUCCAGUGUUAUUGAUCAGUGGUAGCUUCGGCUACGUAUCAGUGGUAGCUUCAGCUACGUAUCAGUGGUAGCUUCGGCUACGUAUCAGUGGUAGCUUCGGCUACAUAUCAGUGUGGCACUUAUGUGCUAAUUCUCUACGUAUCUAUGUAUAUUCCGAGUGUUCAACGGGAAAUUGACUAAGUGUAAUUGAAUAAUGAAUAUAGGUGUGGAACUGAAUUGAAUAUCGACUUAGAAAUGGAAAAGUGAAUUUUGAAUUGAAUUGUGAUUGAAAGUGAAAAAGUGAAAUUAUGAAAGAGUACAUUUAGCAACAAAACAGUUUAGACAGCAACAGUUGUGUGACUUUGAAAAAUCACCAAAAAUGGUGGAAAUUUAAUUAGAGGCUGAAUAAUAUAUGAAAUUGAAGCUUAAUGAGUCUAUUUUCACAUAAAAGAAAUAGAAAAAGCAAAAGAGUUAUAUAUUUUGAGAUAUUUGAAGUUUAAUUAGACAGAGUCAGAAUGAGUUUGGAAUCCCCUAUUUUGACUUUGGAAAAUUGUAAAAAAUUGUACAAAAAUAAUUAUGGGAUAAAGUUUAUAUGUUUAGAAUUAUCAGUGAAUCUAUUUUUAUGAGAAACAAACGGAAACUAUACCCGAAUUCUGUACAGUGAGAUAAUUAAUUUUUAGUGAAGAGAGGUCAGA
rnacentral:lncRNA from 1 species